rnacentral:rRNA from 1 species
CCAUGCCGCGUGGAUGAUGAAGGCCCUAGGGUUGUAAAGUCCUUUCGACGGGGAAGAUAAUGACGGUACCCGUAGAAGAAGCCCCGGCUAACUUCGUGC